rnacentral:lncRNA from 1 species
CAGACAAUCAUUGAGAAACUACAGGUGUCAGAUUUGAGUGUGGUGGAGCCAAUUAAGAUUGAUAUUUUCUUUGGCCACAUUUAUGCUUACGUUGUUCAGGUGAGAUGAGAAAGAUUCCCAUAAAUAUUUUGUCUCUUCAUCACAGAUCACUUCCUUUAACUGCUCAAGAUCCAAAACAGAUAGAGGUAGCUCUUCCAACCUUAAGCACUGUCUCAUGUUGAUCUUUCUUAAAUUGCUUAUGUCACCAAUGUCUUCAGGCAACUCCCUAAUGCUGAAGCAAUCAGAUAUGUCAAGAAAGUCUAACUUUUUGAGGCUCUUCAUCGAGCCUGGAAGUUUUACUAGGUCUGUACAGGAUUUUAGCCUCAACACUUCUAACUUGGUCAACUUUCCAAUCUCUUCAGGCAAGGCAGAUAGCUUAUGACAAUUGGUGACACUGAGCUUCUUUAGUUGACUAAGACCACAGAGCUCGGCAGGCAAUUCCACCAAAUCAUGGCAAUAGUCAAUGUUCAUUUCCUCUAUAUUCGGGAAUGCUGAUGAGAUUGGGAUGGAG